CAUACUGUGCAACCUUAUCCACUCCCUGGGAACCUAACCUAAUUUAUAGAGCUUCAGUAUAAUCAUGGUAUAAUGGGCUUUGUAGUUCUUUUUCAGAUAAGAGACAACAAAUCAAGAAAUAUUUAUUGCUAACAAUACAGCAAGAUUAAUCUCAAACUCUUGACUCAAACUCAUAACUCAAGAUAACAAAAUGGACAAAUACUCCCACACAGUGAUGGACAUGGCCCGAAUUUAUAAGCUCUAAGGCUUAUUAGAACGUUCCAUUACCUGCAUUUCAACUCACCACUUUUACGAUCACAAACAGGUAUAACGAGCAGCUAUGCUGACAGCAGUCUCAAACGUUCACUUUCAAAACAGCAGGUAAAAUUUGCCAAGUGCUAAUGCUGUAGCAGAAUUAUGUGAUGGAAGAAAAUCUAGAAAAUCUGCAUAGGUAAUGUUUUUGGCUGAGUAGAUACUUAGUAGAUACUAAUUUGUGGAAUUCUCUUCCUUAUGGAAUUGUAUUUCAAGGUAGAAUUUCAACCUAUUUUACUUAUGUAACAUAUUUUGAUUAUUUAAGUAUGCAAAGUACUAUAAGAUUUUUCAAAAUAUUUCAAGUAUAUUAUUAUAUUUCAGUACCUUUAAGAUAAUUCUUGGAAGAGCAGCUUUGUAGGUCUGAUUUAGUUGGGGCAUGUUUCAAAUAAUUAUAUAUAAUAUAUUCUAUUGUAUUAUAUUACAACUUAUAAUUAAAAUUAUUUUAUUCUACAACAAAGGUAUAACAGACCUCAAAAAUUAAAUUAUAAACUAAUAGUAAAGUUAAUCCCUAAAUAUAACUACAAAGGCCUGCAUAGCCACUGGCAAUAAAACCAAUAGCAGGCCUAUAAAUAAACGAUACUGAUUAAAAAACUAUCUGUUUCAUUUCGUAUUUCCAUGUAAACAGGUGUAAAAAUUAUUUUUAAAGGUAAUUAUACCAUCUGAGAGGAAAUCUGGAAAAAACCAUAACAGAAUUCAACUAAAUAUUUUAAUUGCUUGUUUAAAGGGAUGAAAUACAAACUUUUAAUAUAAAUAAAUUUAAUAAUUAAAUUUAAAUAAUUUAAAAGCAUAUGACAUGCCUAAAUAUGGUCAGAUGACAUCACAUCAUGACCAUAUAUAGUCACAUCAUGACUAUAUAUGGAAUAUAACUUUUUUUGUCAAAGAAAAUUUGAUAGUGUGGACAGAGGUUUAGGAUGAAUGAACACCAUAUUGAUUGAUGGACAGCCUAUGAUUGACAUUUAUCUCUAGGGAUGACAGGGAUGAUUUAUGUUUCAUUGUUUUAAUGAUCACUGUAAUAAAAAAAACAAAAAUGAAAAAUGGUACAGGAGGUCAAAAGAAAUUCAAAAAACUACUAUUUUGUUUAUUUAGUUUUAAAUUUGAGGGCAUUGCCAUCAUGAAGACUCAUUUUUCAUUACCGUAAAACCUUGAAUAGAAGACCUAUUGGCUUAAUUAAGCCCAUUUUGAAAAGAAGCCCCCUCUUCAGUCCGCAAAAGUAAUCUCAAAAAGAAGCCCAUGGGCUUUUAAUCAAGAUAAUAUGAGCUUCUAAUGAGAUAGUAUUUACAUUCAGACUAACUUUAUCUUGGAAUAUUAUGAUAGCGUGUCAGUAUCAAUAUUAUUUUAUUGUACUAGCAUGGAUAAAAUAUUUUUAAAAUUUCACAGAAUUUUGAAUUCCGUAGUUGCAAAGUAGAAAUUCGAAAAUUUGCACCACUCAAUUUGAAUAGAAGCCCCCCUUUAGUUUGCAAAAGUAAUCUCAAAAGAAGCUCAUCUCCAAAAGAAGCCCUUCCAAGUGUCCUAAAAACAGAUGCCUAGGGCUUCUGUUUGAGGUUUUAUGGUACCUAUAUUAUUAUUCUCAUUAUUAUAUAAAAAUUUGCCUUUCUUUUGUAGCCUAUUCUGGAAAAUUAAUUUCAUUGGUAAUUAAUAAAAGUAAUCCAUUGUGAUUAUA
rnacentral:lncRNA from 1 species